UGCCCGACGAGAAGAGACACGCCCACCAG
rnacentral:piRNA from 1 species